CAAAUACUCCCUCCGUCCGAAAAUACUUGUCCCAGAAAUGGAUAAAAUGAAUGUAUCUAUAACUAAAAUAAGUUUAGAUACAACCAUUCCUAAAACAAGUAUUUGCGGACGGAGUGAGUAUAAA
rfam:Triticum aestivum genome assembly, contig: Triticum_aestivum_CS42_TGACv1_scaffold_113713_2AS